CAGCAAACUUUGGUUUUAGCAAAAAGGAAAAAAAUAAUUGAAUGAAGACGAAAAGUUGUUCCACUGCUCCUUGGAAAGUGACAGACAGGCCCGAUCUAGUCACACGUCAACACUUCACUCUAUUUCAAAUAGUACUGUGUAUGAUUUACAACUUGAAAACAAAAACAAAAAAAAAUCAAAACCAUAUUUCCAUAUUUCUAUGUCGACACUUCAGCUGUAGAGGAUAAAUUGAAAACUGAAAACAUUUAUGUGAAUAGAACUUGAGGAAGAAUUAAAUCUAGUACUAUUAAG